rnacentral:ncRNA from 1 species
AAUAACACGAUGAACCAGCCUAGUAGGCAAUCGGUCCCGGUAGGACAGGGAGUGCCUUCGUGACUGCAAGAGGCAUCUAUCGGCCGUGCUGAAUUCUCUGGGGAGUUGCCGGUUUGAACCUUUCAGUAGAAUCGGCCGGAUCCAACCCGUUAGCGUGAACCCGAGUGGAGCCCGCCUGGGCUCAAUAAAGGUGGUACCGCGGGAGAUCCCGCCCUUUAA